rnacentral:rRNA from 1 species
AUUGAACGCUGGCGGCAGGCCUAACACAUGCAAGUCGAACGAGUGGCGGACGGGUGAGUAAUGUCGGGGAAACUGCCUGAUGGAGGGAGAUAACUACUGGAAACGGUAGAUAAUACCGCAUACCAUCGGAUGUGCCCAGAUGGGAUUAGCGAGUAGGUGGGGUAAAGGCUAACCUAGGCGACGAUGCCUAGCUGGUCUGAGAGGAUGACCAGCCACACUGGAACGGAGACACGGCCCAGACUCCUACGGGAGGCAGCAGUGGGGAAUCUUGCACAAUGGGCGAAAGCCUGAUGCAGCCAUGCCGCGUGUAUGAAGAAGGCUUUCGGGUUGUAAAGUACUUUCAGCGGGGAGGCGUUACCCGACGAGGAAGCCACGGCUAACUCCGUGCCAGCAGCCGCGGUAAUUC